rnacentral:rRNA from 1 species
GUAGCGGGUCUGAGAGGACGACCCGCCACAUUGGGACUGAGAUACGGCCCAGACUCCUACGGGAGGCAGCAGUGGGGAAUAUUGCGCAAUGGCCGAAAGGCUGACGCAGCGACGCCGUGUGUGGGAGGAAGCCCUUCGGGGUGUAAACCACUGUCAGGGGGGAAGAAACCAGGUCGGUCGAACAGGCCGAUCUGCUGACGGUACCUCCAAAGGAAGCGCCGGCUAACUCCGUGCCAGCAGCCGCGGUAAGACGGAGGGCGCAAGCGUUGUUCGGAAUUACUGGGCGUAAAGCGCGGGCAGGCGGCCCGUUAAGUCUGCGGUGAAAUCCCGGGGCUCAACUCCGGAUAUGCCGCGGAUACUGGCGGGCUAGAGACUGGUAGAGGCGAGUGGAAUUCCUGGUGUAGCGGUGGAAUGCGUAGAUAUCAGAAGAACACGGGUGGCGAAGCGGCUCGCUGGGCCAGUUCUGACGCUCAUCCGCGAAAGCGUGGGGAGCAAACAGAUAGAUACCCUGGUAGUCCACGCCGUAACGAUGGGCACUAGAUGCCG